UGGUGCAAUAGGUAGCACAUCAGUCUUACAAGCUGAAGGUCCUGAGUUCGAACCUUGG
rnacentral:tRNA from 1 species